rnacentral:rRNA from 1 species
AGUGAACGCUGGCGGUAGGCCUAACACAUGCAAGUCGAACGGCAGCACAGUAAGAGCUUGCUCUUACGGGUGGCGAGUGGCGGACGGGUGAGGAAUACAUCGGAAUCUACUUUUUCGUGGGGGAUAACGUAGGGAAACUUACGCUAAUACCGCAUACGACCUACGGGUGAAAGCAGGGGAUCUUCGGACCUUGCGCGAUUGCUUGAGCCGAUGUCGGAUUAGCUAGUUGGUGGGGUAAAGGCCCACCAAGGCGACGAUCCGUAGCUGGUCUGAGAGGAUGAUCAGCCACACUGGAACUGAGACACGGUCCAGACUCCUACGGGAGGCAGCAGUGGGGAAUAUUGGACAAUGGGCGCAAGCCUGAUCCAGCCAUACCGCGUGGGUGAAGAAGGCCUUCGGGUUGUAAAGCCCUUUUGUUGGGAAAGAAAAGCAGCAGGUUAAUACCCCGCUGUUCUGACGGUACCCAAAGAAUAAGCACCGGCUAACUUCGUG